rnacentral:snRNA from 1 species
UUUUUUACGAUGAAUUCCGAUGAAUGUACUAAAAUUGGAACAAUACAGAGAACAUUAGCAUGGUCCCUAUGCAAGAAUAACAUUCAAAGUCGUGAAGCAAGUCUUCCAAAUUUUU